UGGUUUUGGACCCGUGUCUGYCGGUAGAUCCCCCGUUUUUGUGCGGCCGACUACCGACGCCGUGUCCAGUCGUUCCUGUGGCUUUGUGUUACCGUUGCCUUUCAAGUGCUUGCGUGCUGGUACCCGAACUAAGGGAAUUGGUGCUACGUACAUGUUGCCUCGCGGUGGACGCCUUCGGGUGUGCUGCUGCGGCCAAAUGGCGCUUGCGGCGUUGCCUCGUUACUYUGCCACGUUUACGUGGUUGUUGUUAUCAAGGCAACCUYGCUCCCGCUGUUGGUCUCGGAUGUUGCCCACGAUGAAGUCUCAUGGCCCUUUUUGGUUGCCUAGACCCGACCCUAAGAAGCUCUCCGAAUUGAGAACAACCGGAACAGGUGUUGCCUCUACGUAUUCCGCAGUUAGUGGUCUGAUACGCAACAUUUUGCGCCGAUCCUCAAAUAAGUAGGACGAGCUUGGCCCGCUCAAUUGUGACAACCGGCGCGGGGACUGCUUCUGGCUUGACACGCAAGUGGACGGACGGACGACUCCCGACGCUGGACGUCAACAAGGA
rnacentral:misc_RNA from 1 species